GUAGGGGGCUGCAAUAGUUAUACGGAAUCACUGGGCGUAAAGCGUCUGUAGGUGGUGAUGCAAGUCACGGGUGCAAAACUCUGGCUCAACCGGAGGAAAGCCAGUGAAACUGCAUGACUAGAGUGUGGGAGAGGUAGAAGGAAUUCCCUGAGUAGCGGUGAAAUGCGUAGAUACAGGGAAGAACACCGGAGGCGAAAGCGUUCUACUGGAUCACAACUGACUCUGAGAGACGAAAGCUAGGGGAGCGAAUGGG
rnacentral:rRNA from 1 species